GGGUAGCCGAUUAGGGUUUGGUGGAGCAGAGAAGACAACGAAGAGUACCUCUGCCUCUUGCCUCCGCUAUCAUUCGUGGAUUCAAUGUUGGCUUGGUGACUCGAUCGAAGAUGGAGACCCAAUGGAUCGCCGAGCUACCGCACGCGGCCACGGACAAGCGCCCGCGGAAGAGGCCCAGGCUCGCGUGGGAUGUGCCCCCUCCGAUUCCCCCUUCCAUGGUUCCUCUGACGCUAUACUGUGGGAUGGAAGCUGCACAAAUGGCUACUAUGAACCAGCACUUGCAAUCAUUCUACUACGGUGGAGUACCUCGAUAUUGUUCUCCUCCUUGGAGGGGUGACGACAAAGAUGGUCAUUAUAUUUUUGGCAUCGGCGAGAAUCUAACACCAAGAUAUAGGAUACUGAACAAAAUGGGUGAAGGAACAUUUGGACAAGUCCUGGAAUGCUGGGACCUGGAAAAUAAAGAACCAGUGGCUAUCAAAAUUGUGCGUUCUCUCCAGAAAUAUCGUGAGGCUGCAAUGAUCGAGAUUGAUGUACUUCAAAGGCUUGCAAAAGCUGACAGAAGUGGCACUCGUUGUGUGCAAAUACGGAAUUGGUUCGACUAUCGCAACCAUAUAUGUAUAGUCUUUGAGAAACUUGGACCAAGCUUAUAUGACUUUCUUCGGAGAAACAGCUACCGCUCUUUCCCCAUCGACUUAGUCCGCGAACUUGCCGGGCAGCUUCUGGAGUCUGUUGCAUUUAUGCAUGACUUGCGGUUAAUUCAUACUGAUCUGAAGCCAGAGAAUAUUCUUCUCGUCUCCUCUGAAUAUAUAAAGGUUCCUGAUCACAAGUUUCUAUCACGAUCAGCCAAGGAUGGUUCACUUUUCAAGAAUCUGCCAAAAUCUAGUGCUAUCAAGUUAAUUGACUUUGGAAGCACGACAUUUGAACACCAGGACCACAGUUACGUAGUUUCAACAAGGCAUUAUCGUGCACCUGAGGUUAUUCUUGGACUUGGGUGGAACUAUCCCUGUGAUAUGUGGAGUGUGGGUUGUAUUCUUGUUGAGCUUUGCUCGGGUGAGGCACUCUUUCAAACUCAUGAAAAUUUGGAGCAUUUAGCUAUGAUGGAAAAGGUGUUAGGACCACUUCCACAGCACAUGAUUGUUAGAGCUAAUGUCCAUAAUAGCCAGCGUGCGGAGAAAUAUUUCAGGCAAGGUCGAGGAUUGCGAUUAGACUGGCCCGAAGGGGCAACCUCAAGGGAAAGCAUCAGAGCAGUUUGGAGAUUGCCUCGCCUUCAGAAUCUGGUUAUGCAACAUGUUGAUCACUCUGCUGGUGAUUUAAUUGAUCUUCUGCAAGGGCUUCUCCAUUAUGAUCCGGCUCAGCGUCUAAAAGCCCGAGAAGCCCUUAGACACCCCUUUUUCACCAGAGAUCUGAGAAGAUGUGGUUACUCUUUGAACUAAGGGCUUUACUCUUCUUUCUUAAGUCAAGUUUGUAAGGGAAUUGUAAAAAAUCUCAGGGUUUUUCUUCUCUUGCAGAGUUUCAGAUGAACAGGCAGCAAAUUCUGUGUACACAAUUUAGGGCACAUAUCAGACGGAAGUUUGGAUGCAAGUUCUAAAACAUGGUCAUGGCUUCGUGUUUUGUUUGUUGGGUUUAACUUUAGCUCAGUGUUCGUAGCAUCCCUCUAUUGGAUCAACCAACCAUUGGCUCAAGGUAGGGGAAAUACACUGGUUUCAAGCACAACUAUGUUGUGAUCUGGAGGCUCAAGUAAUCAUUCUAUUCUUUUUGGAGGAGUCAUCUUAUCAUAAUUGUGUUUUUUCUUUCGGUAGCAGGUAUUGAACGAUCCACUCAUUCUUCUUUUGGGGCCACCGUAUGUAUUCUCAUCUUUAAUAUGUCAAUUGAGAGUCAAUUUGAUUUGUUUUGUUUUGGGAUUGGAAUGUUAUUUCUACAAAGAACUUGUUUUCAUUCUCGUCUAACAUUUAGUGCUUGAAGGUAUUAAUUAGAAUUUGCUUUUGGUA